GCGCAGCGGGCCGGCAGUGGCGGCGGAGAUGGAGGAGGGAGGCCGGGACAAGGCGCCGGUGCAGCCCCAGCAGUCUCCAGCGGCGGCCCCCGGCGGCACGGACGAGAAGCCGAGCGGCAAGGAGCGGCGGGAUGCCGGGGACAAGGACAAAGAACAGGAGCUGUCUGAAGAGGAUAAACAGCUUCAGGAUGAACUGGAGAUGCUCGUGGAACGACUAGGGGAGAAGGACACAUCCCUGUAUCGACCAGCGCUGGAGGAAUUGCGAAGGCAGAUUCGUUCUUCUACAACUUCCAUGACUUCAGUGCCCAAGCCUCUCAAAUUUCUGCGUCCACACUAUGGCAAACUGAAGGAAAUCUAUGAGAACAUGGCCCCUGGGGAGAAUAAGCGUUUUGCUGCUGACAUCAUCUCCGUUUUGGCCAUGACCAUGAGUGGGGAGCGUGAGUGCCUCAAGUAUCGGCUAGUGGGCUCCCAGGAGGAAUUGGCAUCAUGGGGUCAUGAGUAUGUCAGGUAAGAUCUUUCUUCUUGGGAAUCUGAAGGGGGCUCUGAGGCUCUGAGAUAAUUCAGAAUUCUCUUGUGGGGUACAAUCUGUCUUGGAGCAUCAGUGUAUUGAAUUUCCCAGACGCUGGAUUCCUUGACCCACAGAGAAGUGCUUCCCCUGAAGCUGUGCUCUCUUAAUCGUCUGGGACUAUCUGUAGGCAUCUGGCAGGAGAAGUGGCUAAGGAGUGGCAGGAGCUGGAUGACGCAGAGAAGGUCCAGCGGGAGCCUCUGCUCACUCUGGUGAAGGAAAUCGUCCCCUAUAACAUGGCCCACAAUGCAGAGCAUGAGGCUUGCGACCUGCUUAUGGAAAUUGAGCAGGUGGACAUGCUGGAGAAGGACAUUGAUGAAAAUGCAUAUGCAAAGGUCUGCCUUU
rnacentral:sRNA from 1 species